UCUGAUUUGAUCAAGGAUAAAACAAAAACUCAUCUUCCUGCAGGCAAGUAUGCAGAAAAGUCAAAACACUAAGAGAGACAAAGUUCACUCUCUGGAAACAUCAGCCUGGAUGGUCAGGUUUAUUUUGUUUGUUUGUUUUUUUGAGACAGAGUCUUGCUCUGUUGCCCAGGCUGGAGUGCAGUGGUGCGAUCUCAGCUCACUGCAAGCUCCACCUCCCGGGUUCACGCCAUUCUCCUGCCUCAGCCUCCCCAGUAGCUGGGACUACAGGUGCCCACCACCAUGCCCGGCUAAUUUUUUGUAUUUUUAGUAGAGACAGGGUUUCACCGUGUUAGCCAGAAUGGUCUCUAUCUCCUGAGAUGGUCAGGUUUUAAUACAUCUUCCUUAGUGCCUUAGUGGUUGAGUUUGAAGGCAGUAGUGGGAUGACAGUGGAAAAACCACUCCUCCAUUUUAGGAAAAGGUAAUCUUUACCCAAUGGUGUGUGGUCUCAGACAAGACACUUAAUCUCUUUGAGCUUUAGUUUCCUCUUCUGUAAAGUGAAUUGGUUCAACUGUGUGAUAUUGGUGUAGGGGUAGAUAUUUUCUAUUCCUCCUCAGUAUGAACUGAGUGGUGUUGGGUUGCCUACAGCUAACAUGGGGUUGCCAUUUCUCCUUUCGCUAAGGGAUCCAAUUACCAUCUCUAAUUCAUUUUAAUGUUUUGUAAAUUUUAAAUGUAUUCAAAGUACUAUACCUAGUAAUGUCAUAUAUUAAAUAUCAGCCUGGGAUCUUAAUAACUUAUUUGUGGUUAUUAAAACCUAAACUUGGGUUGUAAAGUUAUCUCCAACCUCUAAGCAGUCUUUUCAUCUGCCUCCAAGCCAGAUAUUUCUUAAGCAAACCAGAGAGAAGAAAUGCUGCUUCACAGCCUAUUAAAGAUGGAAGAUUUUUACAGCCUUUGUUGGUAACACCCUCCAAUGUUUUUAAAAGCAUCCUUAAUAUGAAUUUUUAAUUUCCUAAAUGUAAAAUGAGCCCCUCAUUUUUUUUUUGCCAGUGUGAAUAAUAAAGAGGCUGCUAUCCAUAAUGGCUGAAUUGUACUAUAUGUUUUUUUUUCAAAUAUUACUGUGGAUAUGCAUACUGUCCUUAACAGUUAAGAUUUAGAAUACCAUAUGAAAUCUUCUACUCAGUGAUCAUUUUGAGACUUUUUAAAAAGCAGUUGUUAUUAGUUGCUAAUUAUGCGUGUUACGAUUGGAAGUUCAAUAUUUAGGUGAAACCUAAAAUCUUUAUAAUUUUCUUCUCAG
rnacentral:lncRNA from 10 species